GAUGAACGCUGGCGGCGUGCCUAAUACAUGCAAGUCGAGCGAACAGACGAGGAGCUUGCUCCUCUGACGUUAGCGGCGGACGGGUGAGUAACACGUGGAUAACCUACCUAUAAGACUGGGAUAAUUUUGGGAAACCGGAGCUAAUACCGGAUAAUAUAUUGAACCGCAUGGUUCAAUAGUGAAAGACGGUUUUGCUGUCACUUAUAGAUGGAUCCGCGCCGCAUUAGCUAGUUGGUAAGGUAACGGCUUACCAAGGCGACGAUGCGUAGCCGACCUGAGAGGAUGAUCGGCCACACUGGAACUGAGACACGGUCCAGACUCCUACGGGAGGCAGCAGUAGGGAAUCUUCCGCAAUGGGCGAAAGCCUGACGGAGCAACGCCGCGUGAGUGAUGAAGGUCUUCGGAUCGUAAAACUCUGUUAUUAGGGAAGAACAAAUGUGUAAGUAACUAUGCACGUCUUGACGGUACCUAAUCAGAAAGCCACGGCUAACUACGUG
rnacentral:rRNA from 1 species